rnacentral:rRNA from 1 species
GGUUAAGCGACUAAGCGUACACGGUGGAUGCCCUGGCAGUCAGAGGCGAUGAAGGACGUGCUAAUCUGCGAUAAGCGCCGGUAAGGUGAUAUGAACCGUUAUAACCGGCGAUUUCCGAAUGGGGAAACCCAGUGUGACUCGUCACACUAUCAUUAACUGAAUCCAUAGGUUAAUGAGGCGAACCGGGGGAACUGAAACAUCUAAGUACCCCGAGGAAAAGAAAUCAACCGAGAUUCCCCCAGUAGCGGCGAGCGAACGGGGAGGAGCCCAGAGCCUGAAUCAGCAUGUGUGUUAGUGGAAGCGUCUGGAAAGGCGCGCGAUACAGGGUGACAGCCCCGUACACAAAAGCGCAUGUGCUGUGAGCUCGAUGAGUAGGGCGGGACACGUGGUAUCCUGUCUGAAUAUGGGGGGACCAUCCUCCAAGGCUAAAUACUCCUGACUGACCGAUAGUGAACCAGUACCGUGAGGGAAAGGCGAAAAGAACCCCGGCGAGGGGAGUGAAAAAGAACCUGAAACCGUGUACGUACAAGCAGUGGGAGCACCCUUUGGGGUGUGACUGCGUACCUUUUGUAUAAUGGGUCAGCGACUUAUAUUCUGUAGCAAGGUUAACCGAAUAGGGGAGCCGGAGGGAAACCGAGUCUUAAUUGGGCGUUAAGUUGCAGGGUAUAGACCCGAAACCCGGUGAUCUAGCCAUGGGCAGGUUGAAGGUUGGGUAAC